AACGAACGCUGGCGGCAGGCUUAACACAUGCCAGUCGAACGGAUCCUUCGGGAUUAGUGGCAGACGGGUGAGUAACGCGUGGGAACGUACCCUUUGCUACGGAAUAACUCAGGGAAACUUGAGCUAAUACCACAUGUGCCCUACGGGGGAAAGAUUUACCGGCAAAGGAUCGGCCCGCGUUGGAUUAGCUAGUUGGUGGGGUAAUGGCCUACCAAGGCGUCGAUCCAUAGCUGGUCUGAGAGGAUGACCAGCCACACUGGGACUGAGACACGGCCCAGACUCCUACGGGAGGCAGCAGUGGAGAAUAUUGGACAAUGGGCGCAAGCCUGAUCCAGCCAUGCCGCGUGAGUGAUGAAGGUCUUAGGAUUGUAAAGCUCUUUCACCGGUGAAGAUAAUGACGGUAGCCGGAGAAGAAGCCCCGGCUAACUUCGUG
rnacentral:rRNA from 1 species